UAUAGAUAGCCCCAAAAAAAUUGGAAAUAUGACGCUGCACGGUGGGCCCACCGGGACAGAGAGACGGCCCGACUCAUCACCGAAGUGCCAGGCGGCUGGGCCUAGCUGUCAGUGACACGUCAGAGCGCCGGCGUAGGGGAAGGCUACCCCACCCGACCACGACUUCCACCGUCUUCUUCCUCCACGUUCCUAUCCAUGGCGCCAGUUCAUCUCGUGACGUCUCCCGCUCCCGCUCGCGUUGCUCCCAAAACCCUAGCGGCUAGAGCCGUUGCUGCCCGAUCGCGCAGCGAGAUCGAUCGGGCGGAGGCGCCGCGCCACGCCGCGGCCACCGGCAACCGGUAGUACAAGGAAGGAUGGAUGAGAGCGGCUGCGGCGGCGGCGGCGACGACGGCGAGUGCAUCACAUCUCUCCCGUCCGAACCCUAGCCGUAUGCGGAGGAGGAGCCGCCACGCGGCGCCAUCGGAUUCGCUGCGUCCGCUCCCACCAUUGCGCGAGUCGCACACCGGCCGGCCUGGUUCCUCUCGCUCGCCGAAACCCUAGCAGACGAGGCGAGCGGGGAUGUUACGAGGCUACGCCAUGGCGGCUGCGGGCUUUUUGGUGGCGGAGGCGAGCACCUCGAGCGCUUCGGUUGUCAAGUUGAAUUAUGGGGAAUCUGCUCUGGUUUUGAUGAAAUCUGCAUGGCAAUAAGGCGAUUUUGGAGAUUGCGUCGGUUAAUUGGGUCAUGCUGUUGGAUUCCCAGGAGGUUGAUAUCAGGCCACCUGAAUGUCACGAAGCUUCUAGAGCGAGAUAGAAGUUCGGGGAACCAUGGCUUGGAUGGAGCCACCACAACUUCACAGCUACCGUCCAGGUUGCCUGCUACAGCGAUACUCACCUUGCGGUGGAGGUUGAUGGCUGCCUUAAUGGCAACAAAGCUAGAGUGAGCUAACAAUUCAGGGAUCCAUGGCGCUAUCCAGCUGCUAGAGAUGAUUUGUCUCAAAUUGGUGUAUCCAGUGAAUGGAUAUCAGGAACUGGCCACCACAACGUCCCCACUUUCCAAGUUGCCUGCUACACUGUUGCUCACGCUACGUUGGUUUUGAAGGACUCUGUUGCUGGUUUGGAACUAUGCUUGGGAAUUUUGCUGCUGCGUGUUACAAGUAAUAUAAGCAAUUUUAUUUUGUCACAAGUAACUAUUCUCAACAAUAAAUUACGCCAGAAGGACUGGAACCCCGAGUGGCAAACCCAACUCAUGAUUAACACCAAAAUAUCCCGGUGCAUGUCACCCGCCGAAUAUACAGAGAAAGCGACUUUGGCCCAUGAACUACUUUGGUAUAAGAAAGGAAUAAGUGCCCGUGCCCGUGUCGUCGCCCGCUCACAUGCUCCCGCCGUCCGCCGUGGCGACCGCUGGAGAUUGCGCCGGCCUGCCUUAUUUUGUCGGGACCGUGAGAGAAGAUUGAAGAAAAGAGAGGAGAUGCGGACCUAUAUUUUUUUUCUUCUCACUACAUGUGGGCCAUUUAUUUUUUAUUUUGUUAAGAUGCACGGUUUUGUAUAUUUAUAAGGUCGAAGGUUUUUGUAUAAUUUUUGACCUAGGUGAAGAUUUCAUUUCUGGUAGGGAAAAGUA